GACAGAGGGUGCAAACGUUGUUCGGAAUUACUGGGCGUAAAGCGCGUGUAGGCGGCAGGGUGUGUCGGAUGUGAAAUCCCGUGGCUCAACCACGGAAGUGCACCCGAAACUACCCAGCUCGAGUCUCGGAGAGGAAGGUGGAAUGCUUGGUGUAGAGGUGAAAUUCGUAGAUAUCAAGCGGAACACCGGUGGCGAAGGCGGCCUUCUGGAUGAUGACUGACGCUGAGACGCGAAAGCGUGGGGAGCAAACAGG
rnacentral:rRNA from 1 species